GUUGACCUCUUUUCUCUGAAAAUUUUGAUGAAGUAGAGCUUUUUGCUACGUAAAUGGACGGAACUAUUACUUAUUGUUGGUUGUGCAUUGCUAUUUUAUCUAAUAUGAGUUGGUGGAGAGUUUUGAAGUUGUUUUCAGGAUUUUUGCAAAUAAUAGUUGGUUCUGUUGCUGCUUAGUGAGAAGGUGUUGCUGCAAAAAAGCUAUUAGUUUUUAUUUUCUUUAUUAUAUAACCAUAUGAAGGAUACCGUGUGUCAUCGAAAACCUACGUUUACUUACUACUAUAACUACCCCUCAAUCCCGAACAAGUUGGGUCGGCGAUAUGAUUCCUCACUUUUCCUUUUAACCUCAACUCAUGAAACUUAAGUUCACUGGUGUUUUUAAUAUGUUUAUUAAUGAACUUUUACUGUGACUAGUUAUAGCUUGUUCCUUUACGACUCAAUUUAUACAAAAGGCAGUGAGCCAGUUCUCUUAUUUUUACACUAAUGAUUAAGCAAAUCUAUGUGUCAGAAUAUAUGCAUUCUGAGAUUGCAAGCCCCUAAAACAGCCAAAUUAUUUUCUCUUCAUGCGCUCCCUCCUCAACAUCAGGCCUAAUCAUCCAAUCCACUCCAACAGGCUCGGUUUUGUAAUCAGAGCAGCUUCAUCGCUGUCAUCAUGUCAACUGAUUGGUGUGGUGGUGCCUAUCCUCUGCUAGUUGUAACAGCAGUUCUUAUUGGAAUUUACCUUAAUCCGAAAACCCUAAUAUGGAGAUGUUGGUACAACGAUCUUCUUAUCGGUUCCCUAUCCUUUUGCUUAGGCCUUACUUUGGCCUGAAAUGAAGCCCACAUGCCUUUUCAUGUGGUCAAGGUCGUCAUUUCUGUGUCUCACCUGGCAUUGAUCCUGUAGGAGAUUGGAUAGAACGAGGAGCCAUAGGCCAUCGAAAUUCCAUGCACCUCUUCAUUUGACCAAGCUCUUUCAUUGGGGUGUUCAAAUCCUUGUCUUAUAUCCGACUUGAGCCAGGCCUUGAUCCUCAUCUUGAACACUGGAAAAGAACAUUUUAGUUAAAGACUUGAUGAUAUUCAUGUUAUACUAGGGAUUAGUAUAAUAGCUCACCAGCGAGCACAUCCUACCCUGUCCUUGGUAUAGCUUUUACAUAGCUGCUAUCACUUUUUAGUUUUCUUUUUAACAAGGUAACAGAAUCUGUAUAUAAAUCAUCAGCACAAAGUCAUUAUUUUGUAUAGAGACUUGGAGUAAACUAAGUUAUGCUUAGUAAAUUUACUAAGCAUAACUUAGUUUACUCCAAGUCUAUACAAAAUAGAAUGAUUGAUUCAUACACCUAUCAUUUAGCAUCAACCUACAUUUAAAAGUGGAACUUUUGCUGAUUUAUCAAGUAGUCUAAAUGUUUUAUAGACUGCACCAGCAAGGCAAGUUCUUUUUGCUGCCACUUCACGCCAUCUUGCUCUAUAAGAUACCUCUUGAGUUCUGCCUCGAAGAUCUCUUUCCGACAUCUCAAUCCAGAAAAUUUCACCGUUUUCAGAUUAUGUUGCUUUUACAAAGAUAAGAGAACUAAUUAAGAACUGCAAAAUAGGUUGAAGGAGCAGAUGAAUAGAGAUUUAUAAGAUUUUUUCAAAAUCUAGUAUCUAGUUUGGUGUCAAAGACCGCAACCUGGGCAAGGUUAUUUGAAUUUUAGCGGGUGGACUGGUUUACAGGCUGAUGACUCUCAAGAGUGAGCUGCUAGAAGUAGAAAUUUUGUGAUUUGGAAGAUAUUGCGAUAUUUAUGGUGCUUUUUUUGCAAUAUGGAAAGGCUGUAGGUUCAGGAUAGUGGCAAUCAAUGGUUGAUAGCUUAACUUAAGAACAAAUAAUGCUUUGAAAUUAUUCUUUGGCUCUAUUAUUUUACGGUUGACUUGGCUUGACUAGGUGAUCUAGAACUCAUGUGAAGCAUUCAUGUGAGGUCAGGUUGUCUAUUUAUCCAUUGAAUUAAAAAAAAAUUUAUGCAUCCAUGUGCUCCCCUCGUCUUUCUCCACCUUUUUCUGUUCACAUUUCUAUGAGUCUGCUGUUUAUGGUACUGGCAUUGUAGGUUUCUCUCUUGCUUGCGUAGCUUUCUUCUGUCUUUCUACUCCGUCCAGAUGGGUCAGCUUUGUCUUGCAUAUUGACCAGAGGCUGGGUCUAUGGUGGAUUUGAAUCUGACCAAUCUUCCACCUCGUUUCCCAACAGAAACUUAGUAAAAAUGUUUUCCAUGAUACUGUCAGCGAUUGGUAAACAGAAAUAUCUUCAUGAUAUCCUUUCCGCCGGUGUUCAUCUUAUAAAGGAUUGUUAAGACAAUUUUCUCAUGAAAUUAGGCGAGGCCUUUGCUUACCCAGGCUCUGGAUGAUGGCAACUUUGAUACUCUGGCUGAUCCAAGAUUGGACAAGAAUUAUGACACUACUGAAAUGACCAGAAUGGUCACUUGUGCUGCUGUAUGUGUGCGCCAUCUGGCACGUCGCAGGCCUCGUAUGAGUCAGGUACCUUCUACUUCUGCAAGCUUAGUUUUAUGCCUACACCGUAACUGCAUCAUUACCUUUAGAUUUUUAUGUGGGAAAGGGAACUAUCUGAAGUUAGGUAGUAAGGUUAACUUCCUUUCAUGACAAAAGGUUGUACCGAUUUAUAUUUAAGUCUUUUUGCUUAUUUUUUAUACCAAAAAGUUUAGUUAUUUGCUCUCUGACACCUAAUCUGGUUUCUGAUACUUGUCGCCUAAUAAACAUUUUUGUCCUAUUAAAAGUAUACUCUACCAGUUCCUACUGCGUGGUCAGGUGCCGCCUCUAUUUGUUUCCUUUCACAAUUAGCACAUCACAAGAUGUAGAUUAAUUAUUAAAAGGAGUUUAUACUUCAUAUUUGUAGUUUACCUUUCUACAAGCAUUCCUCAAUUAUCCUGAACCUUGUUCUUUAUAAACUCUCGGAACAACAUUGUGUUCUUUAUGGGUAUUAACAAUUAAAAGAAGCCCCCCCCCCCCGGGCGCGCGCGCGAUAGUAUCAUACUUGCUUUCCUGUUCCAUUCUGUUUCAGCUUGCGUUAGCUCCACGGGAGCUAGACUAUACAAUUAAAAUAACUUGGGUGUACAAUCAUCUUUGUUGAUCACAGGAUGGUUUCACUAUAUUCAACGAUUUAAGAAGCAUCUGAAAUAUACCAAUUUUUCUUUUAGCUCCAGAAAUAUUAAGCCAAAGUAAUUUUUACUUUGUUUUUUGAGAUCUUAAGUUGGAAACUUAGUAGGCGUUUUGCCAUGUUUCAUUGUGAACAUAUAAAAAAAGAAAUUGUUUUCAAAGUGAAAAAUGAUAUUUUUUCAUGGCCAAACUCCCCCUUUGUCUCCUCUCUCUAGUCUCUUCUUUGCCCCGGGGGGAAUUCUAUAUUUACUGUCAACGAAGACUUGGCUUGGCUCAAUAUUCAGUGUUGCAACUUUCUUAUGCAGAUUGUCAGAGCUUUAGAAGGAAAUUUACCUCUGGAUGAGUUAAAUGAAGGACUUAGACCUGGACAUAGUGGCAUACAUGAAUCUUAUGGAAGCUCGGAUUUUGACGCUGCUCAGUACAAAGAAGACCUUAAGAAAUUUAGAAAGAUGGCACUAGAAAGCAGCCAGGCACAGAAUUCUAGUGAAUGCAGCGGGCCUACAAGCGAAUUUGGCCCGCAUCCUUCCGGUUCAAGUAGUGAAGGCCUAAGAACAACUCAAGGUACACGCUCUAGUGUCGAAGGCCGUAGAGAAAUUAGAAUAGAGUAGAAGGCAGCUAGGAAGCAGAAAAGAGUGAUUUUUUCGAACGGAGAGGAGCAAUGUAAUAUCGAACUCUUCUCAGAAGUUGUUGGAUUUGGUAGUUUUGAUUAGAGAAUUGUUGAAUUUGGCAUACCUUUCAUAUGCCACUGCUCUUUGUAAUUAUCAUUUAAUCUAGGUGCUGUUGCAGAUUUUGUAAUGUUCCUUAUUCAGUUCUUGAAAAGUUAUAUGUAAAGAAAGAAUCAUUAAAAACAAUGUUGGAAGUCAUGAAAUUAUUCACUUCGUACUGGUUUACCUUAUUAUAAACUGGAUAUUACAAUUAUAUAUUACCUUGGCGGGUUUUCUGAUCGUUCAAACAGUUUCCAUAGGGUUCGUGUCUGGGUCAAGGGGAUGGGUGACAUGAACCCUCUUCCUCCGGUAAGAGCUAUCUAACCUCUGUUGUCUUGCGAUAACCUAGUCUUACUUGCUGUUACCUCCCUGCCUGGUUUCCUUUCUUUUUUGAGAAUACCUGCCCUGCUGCCUCUGCUCUCGUUCGGACCCCGGGAAUCCCUUCCUUUUGGCUAAGGUCUUUAUUUACCCUUUUUCAUUUCCCCCUCAAAACAAAAAAUUCACAAACACUACUAGAACGGCAUGACAACAAUACCAUAAGCCUCUGCUCUCGUUCAGGCACCGGAAUCCCUUCCUUUUUGCUAAGAUUUUUAUUUACCUUUUUUCAUUCCACCGUCAAAACAAAAAAUUUACAAACACUACUGAAUCGGCACGAUAACAAUGCCAUUAUAGAUAUACUUACCGACAAGAGAGAGCGAGAAUCCAUUGUGUCUGUUAACACAGAAUCAUACUAUAAUUAACCUUAACAGUCAAUUAAAGUGAGAAGGCAUGUCACUUAAUCACGAUCAAGUUGUAAAAGAUGUGGUCUUGAUUUUCUGAUUUGGUGUAGUUACAAACUUUACUUUGUUUCCAAUGGCACAAGGCUUGGAAGCCUAAUGGAG
rnacentral:lncRNA from 1 species